GGCGUUAGCAGUACUGCCCUCACUAUGCGUUCAUUGGACAGUAGCGCAACCCCAAGAAAAGGAUGGUUG
rnacentral:snRNA from 1 species